rnacentral:lncRNA from 1 species
AUGAAACGUGAGCAGUUUGUGCACUUUCUACCUGCUUCUAGGCUUCUUCCAUUCCCGAGUUUUGGUGAUGACAGGAUACAGGGAAAGGACAUCAAAAGCUACACUCGGGCUCUCUGUGAGAAGUGUUUCAGAAAUAUAUUUCUAAAGGGAAACGACCUGACGUUGGGAAUUUUCUCGCACUUGUUCCGUGCUGACCCAGGAAGAACUAUGAAGUGCAGACAAUAG